UACGUAGGGAGCAAGCGUUGUCCGGAAUCAUUGGGCGUAAAGCGCGCGUAGGUGGCCAUGUAAGUCCGCUGUGAAAGUCCAGGGCUCAACCCUGGGAUGCCGGUGGAUACUGUCGGGCUCGAGUCCGGAAGAGGAGUGUGGAAUUCCUGGUGUAGCGGUGAAAUGCGCAGAUAUCAGGAGGAACACCAAUGGCGAAGGCAGCACUCUGGGACGUGACUGACGCUGAGACGCGAAAGCGUGGGGAGCAAACAGG
rnacentral:rRNA from 1 species